rnacentral:rRNA from 1 species
GAAUAGAACCCCCGGUAGUCCACGCCGUAAACGAUGGAUACUAGCUGUUGAAGGUAUCCGACCCCCUUCAGUAGCGAAGCUAACGCGUUAAGUAUCCCCGCCUGUGGAGUACGGUCGCAAGACUAAAACAUAAAGGAAUUGACGGGGACCCGCACAAGCGGUGGAUCGUGUUCUUUAAUUCGAUGAUAAACGAAGAACCUUACCAGGGUUUGACAUCCCAAGAAGGCUUCCGAAAGGAAACUGUGCCGUAAGGAACUUGGUGACAGAUGAUGCAUGGCCGUCGUCAGCUCGUGUCGUGAGAUGUUUGGUUAAGUCCAUCAACGAGCGCAACCCUUGUGAAUUAGUUGUUAUUUUUCUAUUCAGACUGCCCCGGCAACGGGGAGGAAGGAGGGGAUGAGGGUCAGGUCUGUAUUUCUCUUACAUCCUGGGCUAGAAACACGAUACAAUGGCUAGUACAAUGCGCAGCGAAGCCGCGAGGUGGAGCAAAUCGCAUCAAAGCGUAGUCCCAGUUCGGAUUGUAGGCUGAAACUCGCCUGACAUGAAGUCGG